GAGCACUGUUUCGGCUAGGGGGCCAUCCCGGCUUACCAACCCGAUGCAAACUGCGAAUACCGGAGAAUGUUAUCACGGGAGACACACGGCGGGUGCUAACGUCCGUCGUGAAGAGGGAAACAACCCAGACCGCCAGCUAAGGUCCCAAAGUCAUGGUUAAGUGGGAAACGAUGUGGGAAGGCCCAGACAGCCAGGAUGUUGGCUUAGAAGCAGCCAUCAUUUAAAGAAAGCGUAAUAGCUCACUGGUCGAGUCGGCCUGCGCGGAAGAUGUAACGGGGCUAAACCAU
rnacentral:rRNA from 1 species